rnacentral:lncRNA from 1 species
CAGUUAAAAGGAAAGAAAAAAAACUCAAAACAAAACCAGAAUUGGCUUACAUUUUAAAGGGAAAGGCUAUGCACAACCUCCAUACACACCAAGUCCUCCACUUAACCCUCUUCCUCUCAACUCUCUGUUUUCUUAGAACUCUUCUGUUUGCACACAUUCUCUCUAGUUUUUUAGCUCUCUCUCUCUUCUUUGAGUUUGAAAUGAAGAACACUGAAGAAU